GUGAAUCAUCAAAUUUUUGAACGCAAAUUGCGCUUCCUGGCAUCUCGGGAAGUAUGCCUGUUUGAGGGUAAGUAUUAACAAAAAAUCGGUUUGGUUGCAAAUUGUGACGUUUCAGGAGUUUGGGCUAUCUUAACUAUUUUGGUUAAGGGGCUUAAAAUUGACCUUUUUUGUGCAUUUUUAGAUGUACAAUAUUUUUUUUUUUUUUAUUAUAUUCUUAAUGCAAAAAUUU
rnacentral:misc_RNA from 1 species